GAUGAACGCUGGCGGCGUGCCUAAUACAUGCAAGUCGAGCGAACGGACGAGAAGCUUGCUUCUCUGAUGUUAGCGGCGGACGGGUGAGUAACAUGUGGAUAACCUACCUAUAAGACUGGGAUAACUUCGGGAAACCGGAGCUAAUCCCGGAUAAUAUUUUGAACCGUAUGGUUCAAAAGUGAAAGACGGUCUUGCUGUCACUUAUAGAUGGAUCCGCGCUGCAUUAGCUAGUUGGUAAGGUAACGGCUUACCAAGGCAACGAUGCAUAGCCGACCUGAGAGGGUGAUCGGCCACACUGGAACUGAGACACGGUCCAGACUCCUACGGGAGGCAGCAGUAGGGAAUCUUCCGCAAUGGGCGAAAGCCUGACGGAGCAACGCCGCGUGAGUGAUGAAGGUCUUCGGAUCGUAAAACUCUGUUAUUAGGGAAGAACAUAUGUGUAAGUAACUGUGCACAUCUUGACGGUACCUAAUCAGAAAGCCACGGCUAACUACGUG
rnacentral:rRNA from 1 species